GAUGAACGCUGGCGGCGUGCCUAACACAUGCAAGUCGAGCGAUCUUUUUCGGAAGAGAGCGGCGGACGGGUGAGUAACGCGUGGGUAACCUGCCUCAUACACAUGGAUAACAUACCGAAAGGUAUGCUAAUACAAGAUGAUAUAAGAGAUUCGCAUGGAUUUCUUAUCAAAGCUUUUGCGGUAUGAGAUGGACCCGCGUCUGAUUAGCUAGUUGGUAAGGUAAUGGCUUACCAAGGCUUCGAUCAGUAGCCGACCUGAGAGGGUGAUCGGCCACAUUGGAACUGAGACACGGUCCAAACUCCUGCGGGAGGCAGCAGUGGGGAAUAUUGCACAAUGGGCGAAAGCCUGAUGCAGCAACGCCGCGUGAGCGAUGAAGGCCUUCGGGUCGUAAAGCUCUGUCCUCAAGGAAGAUAAUGACGGUACUUGAGG
rnacentral:rRNA from 1 species